rnacentral:rRNA from 1 species
ACGCUAGCGACAGGCUUAACACAUGCAAGUCGAGGGUCAGCACAGGUAGCAAUACCGGGUGGCGACCGGCGCACGGGUGAGUAACGCGUAUGCAACUUACCUAUCAGAGGGGGAUAACCCGGCGAAAGUCGGACUAAUACCGCAUGAAGCAGGGGUCCCGCAUGGGGAUAUUUGCUAAAGAUUCAUCGCUGAUAGAUAGGCAUGCGUUCCAUUAGGCAGUUGGCGGGGUAACGGCCCACCAAACCGACGAUGGAUAGGGGUUCUGAGAGGAAGGUCCCCCACAUUGGUACUGAGACACGGACCAAACUCCUACGGGAGGCAGCAGUGAGGAAUAUUGGUCAAUGGCCGAGAGGCUGAACCAGCCAAGUCGCGUGAGGGAUGAAGGUUCUAUGGAUCGUAAACCUCUUUUAUAAGGGAAUAAAGUGCGGGACGUGUCCCGUUUUGUAUGUACCUUAUGAAUAAGGAUCGGCUAACUCCGUGCCAGCAGCCGCGGUAAUACGGAGGAUCCGAGCGUUAUCCGGAUUUAUUGGGUUUAAAGGGUGCGUAGGCGGCCUUUUAAGUCAGCGGUGAAAGUCUGUGGCUCAACCAUAGAAUUGCCGUUGAAACUGGGGGGCUUGAGUAUGUUUGAGGCAGGCGGAAUGCGUGGUGUAGCGGUGAAAUGCAUAGAUAUCACGCAGAACCCCGAUUGCGAAGGCAGCCUGCCAAGCCAUUACUGACGCUGAUGCACGAAAGCGUGGGGAUCAAACAGGAUUAGAUACCCUGGUAGUCCACGCAGUAAACGAUGAUCACUAGCUGUUUGCGAUACACUGUAAGCGGCACAGCGAAAGCGUUAAGUGAUCCACCUGGGGAGUACGCCGGCAACGGUGAAACUCAAAGGAAUUGACGGGGGCCCGCACAAGCGGAGGAACAUGUGGUUUAAUUCGAUGAUACGCGAGGAACCUUACCCGGGUUUGAACGCAUUCGGACCGAGGUGGAAACACCUUUUCUAGCAAUAGCCGUUUGCGAGGUGCUGCAUGGUUGUCGUCAGCUCGUGCCGUGAGGCGUCGGCUUAAGUGCCAUAACGAGCGCAACCCUUGCCACUAGUUACUAACAGGUAAAGCUGAGGACUCUGGUGGGACUGCCAGCGUAAGCUGCGAGGAAGGCGGGGAUGACGUCAAAUCAGCACGGCCCUUACAUCCGGGGCGACACACGUGUUACAAUGGCGUGGACAAAGGGAAGCCACCUGGCGACAGGGAGCGAAUCCCCAAACCACGUCUCAGUUCGGAUCGGAGUCUGCAACCCGACUCCGUGAAGCUGGAUUCGCUAGUAAUCGCGCAUCAGCCAUGGCGCGGUGAAUACGUUCCCGGGCCUUGUACACACCGCCCGUCAAGCCAUGGGAGCCGGGGGUACCAGAAGUCCGUAACCGCGAGGAUCGGCCUAGGGUAAAACUGGUAA